ACCGCUUGAUCUUUGUGUCUCUCCUACUUUUAAGCUUUCUAUGGCUAAUUAAUUGACAUAAUCCUGUCCUACGUAUUGUCUUCUUAGACCAGAACAUCGUAAGAGACAGCAGUUUUGCUCCAGCUGACUGAUCUCAUAUCUGGGAUUGAGAAGGAAAUUUUUCUUUCGUGAAAAAGUGUCAUGAAAUUUUGCCAGCAUUUUUAUCUUAGCAUCUAGGUCAUGGUGGUACUGCUGGGUUAAUGGUAAUAUGAUUUCCAGGAUUUUAUACUGAGAAGCUAAAACUUUUGGCACAUCACAGAGAGCUGUUAUAAAGCUAGAAGAUCAGUUCCCAGAAGCAGAUAAAACCUGAGACUAUGCCAGUGGAAUCUAAGCUUCCUGAAGCAGAAGUUGUCUGAAACUUCUCUGAGUAGAAGCUCUCACACAUAACACUUCUUUUUUUUCUCUCAAUGAAACCUACUUUAGUAAGGUGCUAGAUAAACCAAAUAAUUAAGUACACAUAUGCCACACUGGAAGAUUUGACUGCUGCUUUGGGUGUUCAUGGAGACAAAGCUGGUAAGCCUGAAGAGAUUUAGCUCAAAGAUAUUAUAGAAGAGUUUACUGGAAGCUGCAGAUUAUUGAGUUUGGAUGAUGGAAAUUGAUGAAAUUAAGAAGAAUGAUAUCUGAAAGACUUAUCCAGAUGUUAAUCACUGAGUACGUGAUAUGGUAUCAUCAGAGUUCAGUGAAGAUUCAUCAAUUAAAUAAGACCACUGACUUUGGGUAUCACAUGCUUUGUCCAAAGCUCAUUGCAGUGCAGCAGCAAGAGAAGUUUAAUGAAGAAGAACAACCCUAUUCUUUCUGAAGAUGGCUACAGGUAAAUUGGCAAUUCAAGUACUGCUUCUAAGCCUCUGCAUCUGGCCAUGUACUUUGGCAGCAUCCUAAUCCUGCAUUGGGGUUGUGUCUAUACAUGCAUCAGCUUUACCCACCUGCUUUUUACGUAUUGGUUGUGAAAGAAGGAAGUCUAAACAUUUGCACUGGAAGGAAACCUUAGUGUACUCUAUCCAGAUCUCUGAUGGCUGGAGGAGCAAGGUCCUGAGACCCAUCAAGAGAUGCUCGUGGUACCAGAGUUCUACCUAAUUCCUGGAAAAAAGACAAAAAAGAGGAAAUUCCAGGGCUAAGUACUACUCAAGGGAAUGAGAAAUGAAGGAAAUCUAAGGAGUAAGAAAUAAUAUUCAACCACUUAAACUCCUAGAAUUUCAUCUACAAAAGUUUUACUUCCGCCCUGCUCUGGAGUGAAAAAAACACCACAAUUUUGAUGGAAAGACCAGAGAGAAGUCUGGAAAGGCUGUCCACAAGAGAGCAUUGGCUUAGACGUGAAGUUGGAAUGAGGCCUGAAGAACAAAUUCAAACCCCAAAAAGAGAUAUUACAUAUGCCACGGAGUGAGCUGAAUAUUUCCUUGGUGCCAUUCUGUGGUAUUUGCAGCCCUCUUUGACAUUAUCAAAUGGAUUGACAUUUCAAAUAUUUGCAGUGCUCAGCGGGUACUAAUUCAGUGAAGGUGAACCAUGGGCUGCUCACAUAGUGGCACAGCAAGCGAUGUGUGUCUAUUUAAUCACAGCUGCUGAAAUGAGAUCAAAAGGCAGCGUGUUGUUAAACCCUUAAAGCUGCUGUCACAGCAGAGGGAUCAGGAGGGGCCCACCACAGGAAGCAGAGUAAAGAAAAAAUUUGGACUGGAGACUAAUGCGAUUCCACUAUCCAUGAUGCCUGUCUGUUUUAAAUGGAGAUGACUGAAGGAGGCUGUUCAGGAGGGCAUCUGCCCAGAGGAACCUUACCUAGCCAGGACUCUCUCCCACGUGGAUUUUCGCAGUGGCAGGAGGA